UACGUAGGGUGCGAGCGUUAAUCGGAAUUACUGGGCGUAAAGCGUGCGCAGGCGGUUCGUUAAGACAGAUGUGAAAUCCCCGGGCUUAACCUGGGAACUGCAUUUGUGACUGGCGAGCUAGAGUAUGGCAGAGGGGGGUAGAAUUCCACGUGUAGCAGUGAAAUGCGUAGAGAUGUGGAGGAAUACCGAUGGCGAAGGCAGCCCCAUGGGCCAAUACUGACGCUCAUGCACGAAAGCGUGGGGAGCAAACAGG
rnacentral:rRNA from 1 species